UUUGAAGACACGGCAGCUGUAAGCUGGCGUGAGGAGGCCAAAGGAGCGCGCAGAGCUGCAAGCAAAGGGCGGUGGGGCCUGGACCCUGAAGUGAGUGGCCGACCGCAGCAGCUCAAGGUGCCAUCUGCCUGGCAAGCUACCCGGGUCCCUCCGCCCCACUCUAACUUUCCGCGAAAAUCAGUUCCGCCUCUGCCCCAAGAGCCAAGAGGGGUGGAAAGGAAGAGAGCUUGGGCUGGGAACGCGCCUGAUGUCUAACAGAAAGGCAGUGGCAGCUGGCGAAAAAUCCCCCUCCUGCUGCACUCCUCCGCCACCGGGCUAGGUUGAAAGGAAAAAGCCAAGAAGCGCGAAGCAGCCCGGCUCUGGAAGGCUUUGGAGAGUCCAGCUGACUUGUACACAAUUCGCGGCCUCUGGAGCCUUACCUGCCUUCUUGACUGAAUGCCACCAGUUCGUUUUACGCUUGUGGCUUUUUGUUGAAGUCCCUAUCAUAAGCAAAUGCAGUUUCUGGCUAUGGUUACUGCAAUUCGAAAUAAAAGGCCUGUGAGGUGUGUCCCUCCAGACUGAGAGGCUAUGACUCAGGGUUGGACUUUAUGGAAAAAAAGAAGUUUAUAAAACAAGUAACCCAGUUUCUCCAACCUUUACUGUGGAGCAACAGCGUCAAGCAACAAAACCCAGCAAAGUUUUGCUUGUCACUUACAAGGGUGUUACUGAAAUCUGGAAGGCGAACAAUUAGAAGAUAGCCCAAACAUGCUCUAUUGCUCUACACUGAAAUACUUGCCUCCAAUAAUAGAAAAAACCUGUUUUCGUGCAAUUGAUUGAUUAGCGUUCUGCAGCAGUCCCUGGACAAUUUUAAAGACAUUUUGUGUUUGUGGCCAAAAUUAGAAACAAGCAGACACACACACAAAACAACCAUAUUCAAGACACGGUUCGACUGUUUCCUUGACACUACCCACGAAGUUUAAAGCAUUUUUUAUGUUAUUUUCAAACUUUCUUAAGUGAUCCCAUGAAAUAAAAGUCGAUAAUAGAAAUU
rnacentral:lncRNA from 1 species